GACGAACGCUGGCGGCGUGCCUAAUACAUGCAAGUCGAACGCAGUGGGGACGGGUGAGUAACACGUGGGUAACCUCCCAUCAGAGGGGAUAACACUUGGAAACAGGUGCUAAACCGAUACUGAUGGAUGGACCCGCGGUGCAUUAGGUAGUUGGUGAGGUAACGGCUCACCAAGGCCACGAUGCAUACUCGACUGUAUGGGUGGAUCGGCCCCAGUGGAAUUUAGACCCGGCCCAGCCUCCUAUGUGAGGCAGCAGGAGGGAAUUUUCGGAAAUUGACGAAAGUCUGACCGAGCAACGCCGCGUGAGUGAAGAGGGUUUUCGGAUCGUAAAACUCUGUUGUUAGAGAAGCGGUAUCUAACCAGAAAGCCACGGCUAACUACGUGCCAGCAGCCGCGGUAAUAC
rnacentral:rRNA from 1 species